UCAGCCUCUUUGGGAUUGAUGAAGACAGUGGUGACGUGGACGAGCAAGGUAACGGAGUCCCCGCAUUCAGCCUCUGAGUUUCACCACUGCUCACCGCUGCCCAGUGAUCUGAUGACACGGCCUGUCCUCUGGCCCACAAAGCAGCUGUUGUCUUGCUGCUCCACACUUCCAUCAUCUGUGCACAAAAGGAACUGUCUUUGACAUCUCGCUGGGUCACCUCCUAUUGGCUUGUAUGUAAGUGUGACGGAUGCAUGUUACCAUAUUUUUCAAGGGGGUGUGGGGGUUAUAAAUGUCGUCAAAAUGUCAAGCACAAAAGAGCAGAGUUGACAUCAACUUACCUUUGUCACCUAGCUCUGCACCUCUGUCAAGGGGGAUAAUCGGCGGUGAAGUCUGGAUGCCCGAUUUGUACCGCAAAAGAAGCACAAGGCGAAAAACUGCCCUUUGGGAUUAAUGGGAGAGGAGAAUUCAGUCCGAUGAGGAGCAGCAACUCAUCACGCAGCCAUUAAUGUAAAAACUGCCAUGUUGACAGGACUCAAAAUUCGAUUAAAAGUAAUUUACUUAAAAAUUUGAAUGAGUCCGAUGACGAGCCAGCAGCCAACUUCACCGCACACCUUUUGGGCACCCAUCUCCAGGAACACCUCCACAUACUCCAACACAGAAAGCCAGGUGAGUAUUCUCUGUUGUGAGAUGGACUGGACAACAGAAAACAAAUUUGAAGAUGAUGGCUAUGACACAAACAGAUUUUUUUCUACAUGUGCACAUAAUCCACUUGAUUUGUGUAAGGAUUAUGAAAAGUAGAAUAAUUGAUCCUGUUUUCGCGAGUCAAACACUCCCGGGUAUCGUCCCAGCGGAUGUUUUGGGAUCUAAAGACAGUCUCUCCAAACAAAAUUCAUCUUUGAUGGCGCUUGAACAACCAUCAGAAUUCGGCCUGUCGAAAUGUAAACGUUGGAUUUGAAAAGAUUGGAACCACUGGAGGCCGACCAUUCAGCCAAGUGUGUCCGCUUAAAGCACCUUCUUUUCAGAUAGGCAGCAGAGGAAGUACAGUAGGUGGACUUCAAGAGAAAUGUGAGUCAAAUGAACCCUUAGAGAUUUCAAUUAAAUACAUAACCAACAAACAAACAACUCGCUGUACAACUGUUUUCCUUUUCCUGAUCAAAGAAUAUCUCAAUUGAGUUUACAAGGUGAAAAAACUGGACCAUCCCUUUAAGAGUGCUCACCACAGUUAAGGCACAUUUCAGGCCUCUGCGCAGAAUGCUGUCAUUGAAAAGCACCAGGAGAUUGGAAGCAGAAUACACUGAAAAACACACAAAGUCACACAAUGAAUCCCAUAAACUUUUGCACAUUUCAAUCCUAACCCUAUUGUGGCAAAUUGUGAGUUGGGGGAAAUAAGGACAUCUUCCUCAGUAUAUCUACAGUUAAAAAGAAGAACCCAUUUUUAUGUUUCUUUCCAAGCAUAUACAACAUUUUAGAUGACUAACACUCUAUUCUAUUCCUACUGUGGGAUGAUGCUAUGACACAACACAGCAGAAUAUUUGUAUUUUAAUUUGCUAAUUGAAAGAGAUUCUUUAUAAAUAUGUGUUGCCGUAAAAACUUGUAAUGAAGUCAAAGAGAAUUUGACAUUCCUAGCAUCCAUUGCAUCAUGUACUAUUUUCUUUCUGUUUCCUUCUGACUAGGUUUCACUUUCAUGUUUAGUCAUAUUGGUUGAAGACAGGAAACUGUUGGGUUUCCUUCGAGAUGAUUUAUACUUUUAUAGUAUCUCUGUUGCACAGUAACAACACGGCCCAUUUUGCUGAUUCUGGACACAUACUGAACAUGAUUUCAAUUACAAAAAAUAAUAGAAUUCUAUUCUGCAGGUAUGCAUGUAUUAAAACCUAAAAGAAAUUCUAAGCAUGACCUCUUAUAUAAAAUGAAAUUCUAUUCAUGAAUUAAAUAAAAUUCCACUUGCAAUAUGGGAAUGUGCGAUUCAGUCUGAAUAAUAUAGCAGCUUUGGUGCAGCACUUUUACAUAUAUUACUUUACUAAUUCUUAAAUAAUUCUCUUGUGUGAAAAGUCCACUAUUCGACAUUAAAAGAGACAAUAAAAAAAAAAAAA